UUAAACUCUUAACAAUUGAUGCAAAAAAUAACUGUGCAAGGAAAUAAAUCCAGUUUGGUAACAGGUAUUUAUGAGGGAGCACCAGUGCUGAGGUCUCUUUGCAUAAAACCAAUUUUUUAUUGGUAAAACAUGAGUCCAAGUCCACAUUCUUCUUCUGUAACUGCAUUUAUGUGCUCCUGGAUGUCUGUGGACAGCACAAUCCUUGAAUUUUUCACAAUAGAAAGGAGGCAUCAGUAUUGACUGAUAGAGGUUACACAUGUGAAUUGCUGUGUUGGUCACACAGCCCAGCAAAAGUGUAUUAAGUAACAGUUGGCAUGACUUAAUAUGUGCUUUGAGUGGAUCUGAACCUUGAAAAUGAGUAUCAGAGUUCAGAGAUUCACAUUUCACAUAAAUUUAAAGCUGAGCAGGUCCAUCCAGAGGUGUUUCCGCUGAGGAUGAUUCUGUCUGUGCAGAAAUCUGGGAGGCUCUGCCCAGCCUUCACCUUCCCUGUGUUAACUCAGCUACUGCAGUGCCCAGGGAACACCCAAGGUACAGUCACAGGGUUCUGUCAUUUUUGUUGCCAUUUAGAAGCUGCUUCUCAGUGUGGUGAAAGGAAACCCCAGGAAAUCGGUUCUCCUUUCCUUCUUUGUCGGGAAAGGUGUUCCCCCAAAAGCUGCAGGUGGAACAAGGUAAGUGGAACAGAGGGAAAGGGUGAAUUUGGAUCUGAAGGGUUUAGAGAGGAAGGUGUGGUGACAGCAGAGACAAAGAACAGCAGGAGAAAGGGGGUAUAAAUAAAGCAAAAGUGUGAAUUGAAGAGGGGUUUGGCCGUGGAAGUGGUGGGAAAUGAAAUGAGGAGGGGUAGAAAUCUGAUUUUACAACCAGCUGAAGAAGUGUUCCUUGGGGGAUUUCACUCAGGAUCACUGGGAAUUGUGGCCCAGCGCUGACUGUCACCACAUGGAGGCAGCAAACUAUGCAAAACCAGGGAUUUAACAAAACCCGGGGGGCUGUGAGAGCACUCCAAACACACUCCUGGGUGUAUCUAUGCUAACGAUCAGUGAUGCCACAAGAUUUCUUUUAUUCCCGUGGUGUUUGGGUUAGUGUUUUAUGUUUUAUGACUCCUUGGAUACUCCUUGGACAACCUUAUGCUGCUAAAUCGUGUGCUGUACCC
rnacentral:lncRNA from 1 species